rnacentral:rRNA from 1 species
GACGAACGCUGGCGGCGUGCUUAACACAUGCAAGUCGAACGGAAAGGCCCUGCUUUUGUGGGGUGCUCGAGUGGCGAACGGGUGAGUAACACGUGAGUAACCUGCCCUUGACUUUGGGAUAACUUCAGGAAACUGGGGCUAAUACCGGAUAGGGGCUCCUGCUGCAUGGUGGGGGUUGGAAAGUUUCGGCGGUUGGGGAUGGACUCGCGGCUUAUCAGCUUGUUGGUGGGGUAGUGGCUUACCAAGGCUUUGACGGGUAGCCGGCCUGAGAGGGUGACCGGCCUCAUUGGGACUGAGAUACGGCCCAGACUCCUACGGGAGGCAGCAGUGGGGAAUACUGCACAAUGGGCGGAAGCCUGAUGCAGCAACGCCGCGUGCGGGAUGACGGCCUUCGGGUUGUAAACCGCUUUCGCCUGUGACGAAGCGUGAGUGACGGUAAUGGGUAAAGAAGCACCGGCUAACUACGUG